rnacentral:lncRNA from 1 species
UCCUCCAGCAUUGUGUGCAGCGCAGAAGACAUGCAAUUAUUGCUACCUAGUUCGCUUAAUUGCUUCAUUAUUUGUUUCCUAAAUGCUACCUAUAUGCUUAAGAAGUUCAGAUUCUUUAUAUUUCAUUUUAGCUACACCUAUAUGCUUAAGAAGUUCAGAUUCUUUAUAUUUCAUUUUAGCUACACCUAUAUGCUUAAGAAGUUCAGAUUCUUUAUAUUUCAUUUUAGCUACACCUAUAUGCUUAAGAAGUUCAGAUUCUUUAUAUUUCAUUUUAGCUACUUUUGUAGUAUUGUGUUUUAUUUAUUAUCUGGGAUGAUUUUGUGUUGAUGCGUAUGCCAAAUGUG